GAUACUUUAUUCUUUAUCCUGGGUAAUCUACACAAGAAUGCACAUGGAGGAGCCUCUGCCAGCAACCCAAAGGCAAAUCUUGUUGUGCUGUAUUCGACUGUGUAAUGAUCUUGCCAGCAAUUCAGAUCCUACUGUGCUUAAAAGUUCUUUCUGAGAAGACGGAACUCUGGGAUAUGCAUAAAAGCUUUGAGAAUAAUUUUCUGAGAAAAGACAUGUUGUUGGUUGAAAUAUUAGACCUCAAACAUUCUGUGGAACCCAACUGUACCCACACAUGCCUGAAUUAUAGACUAGAAGCACAGCUUCUCUGUCUCUACUACAACCAUCAAUCAAGCCACAUCACUUCAGAGAAACACAAAAAUUUCUUCUUGACAUCUUUGGCAGAAAACCAAAUGCACCGUGGGUUG